rnacentral:rRNA from 1 species
AGUUAACGUGUUUAAUUUUUGAAGUUUCUUUGGCUCUUUUGGUGGGUGAAAUCAAUAUAAAAAGUCCUUUCUUCUUUUAAAAUUACUAGGGACUAAAAAACUUUGAUUUAAAACCAGGAUUAGAUACCCUGUUAUUCUCAGUUAUUCUUAGAUAGGGUAGUAAAAGUUGUUCUUCAAACCCAAAGAUUUUGGCGGCAUUUUAUCCCAAUAGAGGAGCUUGCCCCGUAAUCGAUAGUCCUCGUUUUAUCUUUCCCUCAUUUGUGAAGCUUGUAUACCGCCGUUGUCAGAUUACUUUUGGAGAAUGUUUUCAAGUUAGAAGAUUUUUUAACUUCAGGUCAAGGUGCAGUUUAUGUGAGGGUGGAGGUGAGCUACAGUUUCUACUAGGAAUUACGAAUUCUAAAUCUCGAAGUUAGUUGAAGGUGGAUUUAUUAGUAAAGUAAUUUAAGUAAA